AAAUUGAAGAGUUUGAUCAUGGCUCAGAUUGAACGCUGGCGGCAGGCCUAACACAUGCAAGUCGAACGGUAACAGGAAGAAGCUUGCUUCUUUGCUGACGAGUGGCGGACGGGUGAGUAAUGUCUGGGAAACUGCCUGAUGGAGGGGGAUAACUACUGGAAACGGUAGCUAAUACCGCAUAACGUCGCAAGACCAAAGAGGGGGACCUUCGGGCCUCUUGCCAUCGGAUGUGCCCAGAUGGGAUUAGCUAGUAGGUGGGGUAACGGCUCACCUAGGCGACGAUCCCUAGCUGGUCUGAGAGGAUGACCAGCCACACUGGAACUGAGACACGGUCCAGACUCCUACGGGAGGCAGCAGUGGGGAAUAUUGCAC
rnacentral:rRNA from 1 species